AACGAGCGCAACCCUGCAUUCAGUUGCCAUCGGUAAGGCCGGGCACUCUGGAUGGACUGCCGGCGACAAGCCGGAGGAAGGUGGGGACGACGUCAAGUCAUCAUGGCCCUUAUGUCCAGGGCGACACACGUGCUACAAUGGCCGGCACAACGGGAAGCGAAGGGGCGACCCUGAGCGGAUCCCACAAAAGCCGGUCUCAGUUCGGAUUGCAGUCUGCAACUCGACUGCAUGAAGUUGGAAUCGCUAGUAAUCGUGGAUCAGCCAAGCCGCGGUGAAUACGUUCCCGGGCCUU
rnacentral:rRNA from 1 species